rnacentral:rRNA from 1 species
UUAAGUUAUUAAGGGCGCACGGUGGAUGCCUUGGCACUAGAAGCCGAUGAAGGACGUUACUAACGACGAUAUGCUUUGGGGAGCUGUAAGUAAGCUUUGAUCCAGAGAUUUCCGAAUGGGGAAACCCAGCAUGAGUUAUGUCAUGUUAUCGAUAUGUGAAUACAUAGCAUAUCAGAAGGCACACCCGGAGAACUGAAACAUCUUAGUACCCGGAGGAAGAGAAAGAAAAUUCGAUUCCCUUAGUAGCGGCGAGCGAAACGGGAAGAGCCCAAACCAACAAGCUUGCUUGUUGGGGUUGUAGGACACUCUAUACGGAGUUACAAAGGACGACAUUAGACGAAUCAUCUGGAAAGAUGAAUCAAAGAAGGUAAUAAUCCUGUAGUCGAAAAUGUUGUCUCUCUUGAGUGGAUCCUGAGUACGACGGAGCACGUGAAAUUCCGUCGGAAUCUGGGAGGACCAUCUCCUAAGGCUAAAUACUCUCUAGUGACCGAUAGUGAACCAGUACCGUGAGGGAAAGGUGAAAAGCACCCCGGAAGGGGAGUGAAAUAGAACCUGAAACCGUGUGCUUACAAGUAGUCAGAGCCCGUUAAUGGGUGAUGGCGUGCCUUUUGUAGAAUGAACCGGCGAGUUACGAUUUGAUGCAAGGUUAAGCAGUAAAUGUGGAGCCGUAGCGAAAGCGAGUCUGAAUAGGGCGUUUAGUAUUUGGUCGUAGACCCGAAACCAGGUGAUCUACCCUUGGUCAGGUUGAAGUUCAGGUAACACUGAAUGGAGGACCGAACCGACUUACGUUGAAAAGUGAGCGGAUGAACUGAGGGUAGCGGAGAAAUUCCAAUCGAACCUGGAGAUAGCUGGUUCUCUCCGAAAUAGCUUUAGGGCUAGCCUCAAGUGAUGAUUAUUGGAGGUAGAGCACUGUUUGGACGAGGGGCCCCUCUCGGGUUACCGAAUUCAGACAAACUCCGAAUGCCAAUUAAUUUAACUUGGGAGUCAGAACAUGGGUGAUAAGGUCCGUGUUCGAAAGGGAAACAGCCCAGACCACCAGCUAAGGUCCCAAAAUAUAUGUUAAGUGGAAAAGGAUGUGGCGUUGCCCAGACAACUAGGAUGUUGGCUUAGAAGCAGCCAUCAUUUAAAGAGUGCGUAAUAGCUCACUAGUCGAGUGACACUGCGCCGAAAAUGUACCGGGGCUAAACAUAUUACCGAAGCUGUGGAUUGUCCUUUGGACAAUGGUAGGAGAGCGUUCUAAGGGCGUUGAAGCAUGAUCGUAAGGACAUGUGGAGCGCUUAGAAGUGAGAAUGCCGGUGUGAGUAGCGAAAGACGGGUGAGAAUCCCGUCCACCGAUUGACUAAGGUUUCCAGAGGAAGGCUCGUCCGCUCUGGGUUAGUCGGGUCCUAAGCUGAGGCCGACAGGCGUAGGCGAUGGAUAACAGGUUGAUAUUCCUGUACCACCUAUAAUCGUUUUAAUCGAUGGGGGGACGCAGUAGGAUAGGCGAAGCGUGCGAUUGGAUUGCACGUCUAAGCAGUAAGGCUGAGUAUUAGGCAAAUCCGGUACUCGUUAAGGCUGAGCUGUGAUGGGGAGAAGACAUUGAGUCUUCGAGUCGUUGAUUUCACACUGCCGAGAAAAGCCUCUAGAUAGAAAAUAGGUGCCCGUACCGCAAACCGACACAGGUAGUCAAGAUGAGAAUUCUAAGGUGAGCGAGCGAACUCUCGUUAAGGAACUCGGCAAAAUGACCCCGUAACUUCGGGAGAAGGGGUGCUCUUUAGGGUUAACGCCCAGAAGAGCCGCAGUGAAUAGGCCCAAGCGACUGUUUAUCAAAAACACAGGUCUCUGCUAAACCGUAAGGUGAUGUAUAGGGGCUGACGCCUGCCCGGUGCUGGAAGGUUAAGAGGAGUGGUUAGCUUCUGCGAAGCUACGAAUCGAAGCCCCAGUAAACGGCGGCCGUAACUAUAACGGUCCUAAGGUAGCGAAAUUCCUUGUCGGGUAAGUUCCGACCCGCACGAAAGGCGUAACGAUUUGGGCACUGUCUCAACGAGAGACUCGGUGAAAUCAUAGUACCUGUGAAGAUGCAGGUUACCCGCGACAGGACGGAAAGACCCCGUGGAGCUUUACUGUAGCCUGAUAUUGAAAUUCGGCACAGCUUGUACAGGAUAGGUAGGAGCCUUUGAAACGUGAGCGCUAGCUUACGUGGAGGCGCUGGUGGGAUACUACCCUAGCUGUGUUGGCUUUCUAACCCGCACCACUUAUCGUGGUGGGAGACAGUGUCAAGCGGGCAGUUUGACUGGGGCGGUCGCCUCCUAAAAGGUAACGGAGGCGCUCAAAGGUUCCCUCAGAAUGGUUGGAAAUCAUUCAUAGAGUGUAAAGGCAUAAGGGAGCUUGACUGCGAGACCUACAAGUCGAGCAGGGUCGAAAGACGGACUUAGUGAUCCGGUGGUUCCGCAUGGAAGGGCCAUCGCUCAACGGAUAAAAGCUACCCCGGGGAUAACAGGCUUAUCUCCCCCAAGAGUUCACAUCGACGGGGAGGUUUGGCACCUCGAUGUCGGCUCAUCGCAUCCUGGGGCUGUAGUCGGUCCCAAGGGUUGGGCUGUUCGCCCAUUAAAGCGGUACGCGAGCUGGGUUCAGAACGUCGUGAGACAGUUCGGUCCCUAUCCGUCGUGGGCGUAGGAAAUUUGAGAGGAGCUGUCCUUAGUACGAGAGGACCGGGA